rnacentral:rRNA from 1 species
CUCUGUGACUCCUACGGGAGGCAGCAGUGGGGAAUAUUGCACAAUGGGGGAAACCCUGAUGCAGCCAUGCCGCGUGUGUGAAGAAGGCCUUCGGGUUGUAAAGCACUUUCAGUAGGGAGGAAGGUAGUGUAGUUAACACCUGCACUAUUUGACGUUACCUACAGAAGAAGCACCGGCUAACUCCGUGCCAGCAGCCGCGGUAAUACGGAGGGUGCGAGCGUUAAUCGGAAUUACUGGGCGUAAAGCGCAUGCAGGCGGCCUGUUAAGUCAGAUGUGAAAGCCCGGGGCUCAACCUCGGAACUGCAUUUGAAACUGGCAGACUAGAGUACUGUAGAGGGGGUAGAAUUUCAGGUGUAGCGGUGAAAUGCGUAGAGAUCUGAAGGAAUACCGGUGGCGAAGGCGGCCCCCUGGACAGAUACUGACACUCAGAUGCGAAAGCGUGGGGAGCAAACAGGAUUAGAUACCCUGGUAG